GGCUCCUCCUCCUAAGAAAGUUGUUGCAGCUUCAGCUAAGAAUGGUGUAGCUGCUAAGAAGGAUGAGUCAAGUGAUGAUUCUAGUUCAGAGGAUGAUAGCAGCUCUGAGGAAGAUGUACCUGCAGCCAAGAAACCUGCUAAUGGCUCUGCUGCAGUUUCUAAGAAAGAUGAGUCUAGUUCAGAAGAUGAUAGCAGCUCUGAGGAAGAUGUACCUGCAGCCAAGAAACCUGCUGCUAAUGGCUCUGCUGCAGUUUCUAAGAAAGAUGAGUCAAGUGAUGAGUCUAGUUCUGAAGAUGAUAGCAGCUCUGAGGAUGAUGCUGUUGCUAAGAAGAAGGCUGCACCUAAAAAGGGUCUUGCUGCUUCCGCCAAGAAGGAAGAAUCCAGUGAUGACUCCAGUUCAGAUGAUGAU
rnacentral:lncRNA from 1 species